AUCUUCAAAUUAAAGGGUUAUCUCUGUAGUGUAUAAUUCAUAUGCUGGAAAUAACCUGUCAAUUUGAAGAUUUUUUAUGCAAUUUUUUAUCAACUAAUUGCUCAUUAUGCAAUUAUAGACCGUCUAAAGCUCUCUAAGUAAUUUUUUUUUUGAUCAUUUUUUAUCAAGUUGACUGUUUAUUUUUUCUAAAACCGUAAAAUCAAUGUGUAAAUAUCUAAACAUUGUGAAAUUAUUAAUAUUUGUAUAAUUUACAUGUGCUCCUUAUAUUAGAUUUAUUCUAAUUUUGUUUUUUCUUUCAGAUUUUGAAUAUGUCANUUUAUGCAAUUAUAGAUCGUCUACAGCUCUCUAAGUAAUUUAUUUUUUGAUAAUUUUUUAUCAAGUUGACUGUUUAUUUUUUCUAAAACCGUAAAAUCAAUGUGUAAAUUUCUAAACAUUGUGAAAUUAUUAAUAUUUGUAUAAUUUACAUGUGCUCCUUAUAUUAGAUUUAUUCUAAUUUUGUUUUUUCUUUCAGAUUUUGAAUAUGUCAAUUCAUUAAAAGUGUACGAACCUAAACAAAUUGUGAUCUACAAGCAGUUCAAUGAAACUACUUCGCAUCANCAGCUCUCUAAGUAAUUUAUUUUUUGAUAAUUUUUUAUCAAGUUGACUGUUUAUUUUUUCUAAACCCGUAAAAUCAUUAAUAUUUGUAUAAUUUACAUGUGCUCUUUAUAUUAGAUUUAUCCUAAUUUUGUUUUUUCUUACAGAUUUUGAAUAUGUCAAUUCAUUAAAAGUGUACGAACCUAAACAAAUUGUGAUCUACAAGCAGUUCAAUGAAAACUACUUCGCAUCAAGUAAACAUAGAGCAUUUUAAAUCAUCUCGUAUUGGAAUUUUCAUCAUGUUCAAUUUUCGGAAUUCUAUUUCAUUUUGUUGAGUAUAUAUUUAACUUUUUCUUUAUAAUAGACUUUAUCAUUUUAGAUCAAUAAUAGCAUAUAAUAAUUUACUUGUUUAAAUUGAACGAAUUGAAAAAUAUGCGUUGUUUUAGCAUUUUAAUAUCAGGGUUCACAUACAUUUAAUGAUAAGCUAUCAAUAUGUCUGUUUAUUGUAUUUUAAUAAAUUAAGUAUCGAAUUAUAGUUAGAUAUAGUGUUUGGAAUUUGUAUAAUCGACCCUUUUGUUGUAUUUAGGACUAUGAUAUUUGAACAUUAUAGAAUGAAAGAUGUUAGAAUUGAAGUGUUAUAUCGAGCCAGUAUAUUUCAUAAGGCUCGUUA